GAGUUUGAAGUGACGUCAAGUAUUCUUGGUGCCAGCGCUUCCAGAAUCUUUGCAUAAGUGCCUGUAAAAGAAUCCAGUUAUUUUGGGUUGAAACAUUUUCUAGGUUACUAGCAGAAAUAUUGCUUGUAUACGACCAUAGAGAAGCCCAUCUGGCCCACCCGAGAAGCUUGAAAGGCCUUAGAAGAGUCAUAUGAAAGUUGAUUGGAGACACUCAUAACAGACUAUAAUGCCUUAUAGAAACAACCGACAUUUGAAAUUUGAAAAUAUGUAUUAUUGUUGUAUUAUUGUUGUCUGUCUGUCUGUCUGUCUGUCUCUAUCUGGAGCUGCAGCCUAAACGAGUGAAGUGAUUUUCUUCAAACUUGGUAGUUAGCAGUUUUUGGUGAUUCCCUAGAGGGGAAAUUGAAUUUUUUUUUUAUGACCAAAACUAACGGUACUUGCCAUAUAACGGAAAUAGAAAAGUUAAUUUUUUUCAAAAACGGCUCUAACGAUUUUGAUUUAAAUUUUUGUGUGUAGUACUACACAUAAGAGCCAACUUUUAAAAUAAAAAAAAUAUUUUUUGUACCGUUAUUAAUGGUACCUGUCAUAGAACGGUUUUUUUCGUUUCUGAAUAUCUCGUACAACAUUAACCCGAUUUAAAUGAAAAUUUUUAUACAAACGUGUGUAAGUAAAGAUAAUAUUAAGAAUUUAGAAAGUUUUCAAAAAACGCAUUUUUGGAUUUUUAAAAAAUAUUUCAAAAUUUUUUUUUGAAAAAUCAAUUUUUUGAAAACGGAUCAAUGAAAAAUUUUGAAAUUUAGUUUUUAUGUGUAAAUUAAUUACUUCUUCAAAAUGGCAUACCAACUUUUUAUAUUUUAUACAUAAAAAAUUAUUUUUUUAAAAAACGGCUCCUACAAUUUUCGAAAAUUUUUUUCUAAAAAUACCUUUUUAUACAAGAAAUAAAAUGGCAUAUUUGUUUUUUUUUUUUAAGAUAAUUUAAAAUGGAGUUUAAUUAAUUAUAAAAACAGAUUUAAUUUUUUUAUACUAAUGAAAUUUCUUCAAAAUAUAAAAUUUUUUUUAACAUUAAAGUUACUUUAAGCAUAAGAGCAAGUACGUGCGACCCCAGUCGUGCAAUUUAUUUUUUUUUGUUUACCUAUUACAUUUUAUUUUUUCAUUUUCUUAUUACGUUUUCAAUCCAGACAAGUUUUGCUUCUGAAAUUAAAAUUCCAAACACAAUUAUAAUGAGAAAAAAACUUCUUACUUACUUGACGUAUUUUGCUCGUACAUCCUGAUUUAUAGUCCGGUACCUUACCCAUCGAGCUACUCAGGUAUAUAAUAAAAGAGUUUCAAAUUUGGACUAGUUGAAACCAGAGCUUCCUAAGGGCUUCGACUUAACUUCCUGAUGAGUUGCACUAUCUUAAAGAAUAUGGUGACCAUUUGUGUUUUUUUUUUCAAAGUUAUUAUUUUUGGUUAUUUUCUGUUUUUUUUUAUCUUGUAAAAAAUUAUUUAAUAAAGACUUAAUAAUAUUAUAUUCUGAUUGUCAAACCAUAUCAUUAUUGAGAAGAUGAAAGAGAAUAACUUUUUAAUCAAGAACAAUUUUUCUGGAGCAGAAAUAAAUAUCUGAAAAAUUCGUUUUUUUUUAGACUUUAGAGGUUUCACCCGGAUGCCGUCAACCCGCAUUUUUCCGAAGAAGAUAAAAAAUUUUUAAUUUGUUUGGGCUUUUGGCUUUUUCUUAAAAAUUAUAGAAUUAACUUUGUUUUGAACUUAGAUAAAAAUCUAAAAUGCCUGUCACUAUUUUAUAUUUAAAUAAGUGGAGAAGAUUUAAAUCUUGUUUCCUUUCUUCUCUACUUGCUUGAAGAUGAACUCCAAAUUGGUCAGUAAACCAUUUUUAAUAUAACUAUUUUAAACCAAUUACCUAUAUGAAAAGAUUCACUUUUUCAUUUAUUUCUUAAUAACAAUGAAUAAAAAAACCAAAAAUGGUCACCAUAAUGGCACUUAUCCAAAUAUUUCUUAUUCUCAUGAAUUUGCCUGACAGUUUAAAAAAUUUAGCUUGUACUCACUUUCACAGGGCUUCUAGAAAUAAAAUUAUUUCGCUUAGGCAAACUUAUAAAAUUAAAUGCUUUUUACAAUGUUUUGCUUGUACUUAAAGGACCUCUACAAAUAUAAAUAAAUAUCCCCUAACUUCCCUAAGGCAAACAUAUAAAACUAAAAGCUUUUCGCGCAUGCGCCUGAAAUUGAACUUCUUUUUUUCUCAUACAGAGAUACAAAACAUACAUUUAUGUAAGCCGUUAUAUUUGAAAGUAAUAUAAAACAUACUUUGUAAUAUUUUCAAUAAAAAACAAUGAUUCAACAAUUUUUUAAUUCAAAUAUUAGAAUGCAUAACUAUAACACAUCUAUUUUGUGGAAUAUUUGUUUAAAAAGGCAAAGGCAACACCGUUUAAUGCGGUUUAUUUGAAAUUCAAUGUUAUGUUUUUUUUUAUGAAUAUCACGACUCAUAUACUAUUGACAUAAUUUCGGUAAUAUAGAAUUAUAAUAAUAAAUGCAUUUAAGGCAAUUAUAUAAGUUGUAGGUACUUCUACCAUACUUAAAUACCUACCUAAGUCAUUUUUGAGUCUAAUAAUUUUCGAAUUGGAUAAAAAAAAUACAAAGCAUUCAUAAAGAUUUUGUAAGCAGUUCUAAUACAAUUUUUUUUGCAAAGCCAGUUAAAAGAAGUCAGUUAUUGGCUUUUAUUUCUUGUGCUUCUACAAUGGAAUUACAUGUGGCCAUAAUGAAAUUUAAACGAAAUGUUUACAUUAAUGCUUGUAGAAAUUAAAAGACUUUCGAUCUUGGUCAGUACGGUGUACAUUUCUUCGUAGGUCAGCCUAUGUUCACCUACAACGCGUUUUAAAUGGUUUUUCACUGAUUUUACCUGAUAUAUUAACUGAUAUAUUAACUCGACGUUUCUUUAAACCCAACUUAUUAGCAAUGGCCGUAGUUAUGAAGUUCAACUGAGACCCUGAAUCAAGCAUUGCUCGACAAGGGAUGUAUGUACCGUAGGAAGAAAUGACGUUAACUACCGCAGUAGCAAGGUAUACCUGACGUUGUUUCACUUUCGACUCAGAAGCCGUAUUUGCUGUUUUUGAAUUUUUAAAAUUUUUAUAACGCUUACCAAAACAAACCUUUGUAGGAAUUUCUGUUGGUUUGAUGAUCUGCUGCUGUGGCUGAUCAUGCUGACUUGUUGAAUCUUUGUGGUUCUGUUGAUUGUUUAUAUUUGUGCUCAAUUUUAUAGAGUUUUCUGCUUUGUUCAUCAGCUGCUGCGGCUGACUUGAAGAAUCUUCUCCUUUGUAGUUUUGUUCUUUGUUGAAGUGUGAUUUUGUUGUAUCGAAUUGCUUAGUCGAUUGGAAGUGGUGAAGGAGCGUGUUGUGUCGUCCAUCGCACCGCUGACAUCUUCGAGACUGGCAUGAUUGGGCGUGAUGACCCACUUUGAGACAGUUUCUGCAUAACUGCAGUCUUCUUACAGCUUUAUCCUUGUCCAGAUCUGAAAGUAAUAAAAACUGUGAGCAAUUAUAAAUUGUAUGAUUACCUGAAUUGCACAUAGCGCAAUUGAUACUGUUGUCGCUAUUUGCUGCAACUAAUGCAGAUGUCUUCUUUCUGUCAUCUCGGCUAGAAAUAGCUUCCAAUGUCUGGAAGCGGGAUUCAGCAAACUUGAGUAACUCGUCCAAAGUAGGGCUACUCCGAGGAUCAUCCAAUGAUUGUUCGAAAAGUGUUCUGCUUUCCUUGUCCAGUUUUUGAAGGAUCAGAUGAACAAUAAUCGGAUCCCAACUGCUUGUAUCAAAUCCCAGAUUUGAUAUAGCCUGCAUACCUUCCUUUGUGGUAUCAUGCAUACGAUUGAUACUGGAUGCCGUUCCAAUUGCUGGUGAUUGAGACAGCAUUUUUGUUAAUUGAGCUGUUAACAACAGCCUCCUAUUAUCGAAGCGAUCGACAAGCGUCUUCCAUGCCACAUCAUAAUUCUUGUCAGUGGGCUGGAAGUGUUGUAUUAAACUAUGUGCGUCUCCAGUGACAUUCGCACGUAAAAAAUACAACUUUUGAGCAGGUGGGAUCGGCUGAUCGUGUAUUAACUGCUUGAAAAGGUCAUAAAACUGCCUCCAAUUAAGAUAAUUUCCAUCAAACUUUGGCAGUUCUAUUUUUGGCAGCUUCAUUGUCGCAGCGAUUGGCAUUUCUAUUGAACGAUUCAUGGCCUUGGGAUGCUCCAUUUGUUCGCAUAGUUCCAUCAGUGCUAGCUCAACUCGAUCCUGCAUGUCGAAAUAAAUCUGGAUAUCUUCCACAGAUGCAUAUUCGCCAAUCGUUUUAAAAAUA